AGCGAACGCUAGCGGCGGGCCUAACACAUGCAAGUCGAGCGGGGGAGCAAUCCCCAGCGGCGGACGGGUGAGUAACACGUAGGUUAUGUGCCCUUUGGUGGGGAAUAACCGUGGGAAACCAUGGCUAAUUCCGCAUAUCGAGCGAAAUCUUGAAAGCCUUCGGGCGCCAAAAGGAGCAACCUGCGGCCCAUUAGCUUGUUGGUAGGGUAACGGCCUACCAAGGCGAUGAUGGGUAGCUGGUCUGAGAGGAUGAUCAGCCACACUGGAACUGAGACACGGUCCAGACUCCUACGGGAGGCAGCAGUGGGGAAUAUUGCGCAAUGGGCGAAAGCCUGACGCAGCCACGCCGCGUGAGUGAUGAAGGCCUUCGGGUCGUAAAGGACUCUGUCGUAGGGGACGAAAGGGGAAACCGUUUAGACGGUACCUUAACCAAGGAAAGGCACCGGCUAACUCCGUGCCAGCAGCCGCGGUAAU
rnacentral:rRNA from 1 species